ACUGGAGAAGGCCGCAGGGACCUCUGCCUAGGAAAGCCAGAAAAACUCACUACCCAGCCCACAGGCAGAGAAGGGAGUGGAGGCGGCCAGCGGUGUGUCUCAGAAGAGCUGUAAAUACUGUGCUGACACAGGGUUGCAUGUAACCACAAUUGGAGAAAUGCUUUCUACUAAGCCAAAGGUAAAUUGGCACUGCCAAUUGCUACUUCACAGAAAGUAAAAAUGAUGUUGAGAGGAAAGCAAGGAAGUAUGGGAUCUUGUGCUGCUGUUGUUACCUGGCUGCUCCAAAGAACCAUAAGAUUAUAACCAACUCAUCUUGGUUUGCCUGGGAUUUUCCUGGUUUAUCACUGAAAUUCCUGUAUCCUGGAAGACCCUUGAGCCCCAAGCAAACUAGGACAGUUGGUCACCUACUGAAGAAACUUCCUUAAAAAAGAGUUUGCACAGUUGUAGCUACCAGAAGAAAGCUCAGCAAAGAUUCAAAGUCCUUCUAAAAUGAUCCAGAUUGAGAAUACCAGCUGCUGGGGAAUCAUUAUUAGGCAUUACAUCAAGAGGAGGCAUCAAAAAUCCAACAGGAGAAGCUACCUUUGCUAACAAUAGCGAAGAGGCAGAAUUCAGAAUUCUUACUGAUUGGAGUCAUCACAAGAUUAUAUUAUAUUACAUUAUUAUAUUAGAUUAGAUGGUUUCUCCUGCUAGAAGCAACUUUUAUUUUUUUUAACUUUAGCAGUCUUUUAUUUCCAAAAUGAGUAAAUCAAUGGACAAAAAAGAAAUAGGAAGAAAAUGAAUUUGGCAUAACUCAUUACUAGAAAAGCAAUGUUCAUUUUGAAUAAUGGGAAACUGAAUUUGUGUGAAUUUGUGUGACAUCAUCCAAAGCCUCCAAUUUCACCAAUGUCAUUCCUUUGCAUCUGAGUCACACAGUUGGUAGUUUUUCACUUUAACUCUUCCAAAAUAAAAGUAAAUAAAAAUAUUCUAUUAGGAAACCUGAUAAAUUUUGAAACCCAAAAGCUCAAGCCAGUUCUAUAGACCUUGAAUUUUUCAACCUAGCACUAAAAUUGUCAGUAAUGGAUUGGAUAGAAUACAGGCUUACACAGAAACAAACAUGGUUGACUUUUUCCAGACACAGAAAAUAAGGUUACCAAUGUUAUAAAAUCUCUAAGUUGUAUCUACUUGGAGAUACUGUGCUUGAUAUCAGUGGUCCCGAUUUCAUUAGGAGAAAUCUGAUCAUCUUUCUGGAAUUGAAAACUGGAAAUGGCCCAGCUGGAUUUCCUUUUAGAAGACACAAGGUUUCUUGAAAUGAGCUAUCCAAAAGUAAGAUAUUCCUUUCUUGCACCAGUAAAGACUGAAUGAGCCUGAACAGGUGUUGCAUAAAUGACCACUUGAUCACCCAAAUGCAUGAGCCUCUCUUCUUUCUGGAUACAAGGUCAAGCCAAAUCAUGUUUUCUUGCCUCCCUUUUACUUAUGUGUGGCCAUGUACUAAAUUCUAGCCAAAAGAAAGGAAGCAGAAAUGAUAUGUGCUACUACCAAGAUUGGACUAUGAAAACCUACUACACAUUCUCCUCAAUGUAUGCUUCACUUCAAGUCUACCAAGAUGGUGGCUUACAGGGUAUCGAAAUCUGCUGAAGAUGAGAGAACCUGCAUUCACCUGGGAGCCCGAAUGACUGUUAAGAAGGUCGCCUGUCCAGUUGAUCACUUGACUGGUUUAUGUGGGGAAAAAUAUAUUCAGCAAGAGCUGAUAUGGUUUCAGGAGUAUUGCUAGAGAAGUUAGCCUACUUUCACCAAUUUGAACAAAAGCCGAAGAUAGGCUGCAUUAUGAAGGCACUGUUUCUAGGGCUUGCUGUAAAAGAUGAUAUCCAGGUAAUGAGCAUUCGUGAGGGCAGGUGAUGCCUUUUGCUAUGUGCCAUGUCAAUGCACAAGACAGACAUACUUUCUCUAAGGCAGUCUAUUUCCAGCAGAGAGUUUUCUUAAGUGUGAAAAGAUAUUGCAGUAGACAAGCAAGAUUUCUUUUUAUUUCUGCUAAAGGUAAUAAACAUUAAGGUCUCAUUUUAAAAAAUAUAAAUAAAUUGAAUUAUAGGUGAAAAGGAAUGCAUCAUGCUGCUACUUAACAUUUCUUUGAUUUCCCCAAAUGGAAAUUAUGAUUAAGCCUAAGUUUUAAGUUAUAAGUCAUUUGAGACGCUUCUGAAUGUUGUCUCCAAAUUUGUCUCCAUAUUUGAAGAACUAUGUAUUUCUCCAAGGACUCAUAAAGUGGAGAGCGGUCAAAUGUGCCAACAGCCUAAGAAAAGGAAAACUUUUAAGUGAAGGAAAUGUUGCUAAUAAGUGGAAAGGUUACGUUUUAUUGAGUAUACACAUUUAUGGUCAUAGUUUUAAGUUUCGCUUCAAGCAGCAUUGCCAAGAUUAAAGUUAUAAUUAAAUCCCCAUUUUAUAAAGAUGUCAGUUAGUUUUUUCAGUGAUUUUAUGAUUUAAUUAAGGACUAGGACAACUUAUUGCAAGCAUGAGUAGUUUUAAUAGUAAAAUAUAGUUUAGAUUACUAACUUGAUGUUCCAGAGGGACUGCUUCCUUGUGAAAGGGUAAUUCACUGUAAGACUUCCUUAUGUUCAAACCUGUUCUCUCUUCAUGCAGUGUAUUUUAUGACUCAGUUUUGUGGUUUCCACAUACAACUAUCCUAAUAGCAGCUGCUUCCCAACCUCCCCCCACCACACACACACACACACACACACACACACACACACACGUUUUUGUCUUACAGAUUUAGUUCUUUACUUGUGGUGAAACUAUUAGAAUAGAGGCAAAAUGCUACAUGAAUCUACAAAGAUAUACGUCUUCUAAUGAAAAUAGUAAUUACUUUUUCAUAAUUUCACAAAAUGAAUAAGCCUAAACAAACAAGACACAUGCAAUGACCAGAGGAAAAAAGAGGCAAUUCCUAAAACACAUGUACAAAGCUUCGUUUACACUGAGCUCCGGCCUUUUUUUGCCUCUUAAGGAAAUUUGUUUCAGUGGAGGAGUUGUGAGAGUACUUGUCACAUACAGGUAUCAGCUUUUUCCUACCACAAAGGAAAGAAAAAGAAAAGAAGCUGAUGAACCUGAUUAAUAAUAAUUUAGGGUGGCAGACGUAGAAGGGAGUCAGAGAUUCAUCCAGUGCAUUUUUAUAAUCUAAUAUUGGACAAAACUAAAUACACGUACAGGAUCACAAGAUGCCUUAACGGAGUCUAUAUUGGACAUACAAAGACUUGAUGAUUAAAGCUCUUAAAAACAGACAUCUGGUAAAUCUAUGACUGGUAAGUGUGUGUGUGUGUGUGUGUGUGUGUGUGUGUGUGUGUGUGUGUGUGUGUAGAGAGAGAGAGAGGGAGAUAGAAAGAGAGCAGAGGGAGAGCGCACACACAUACAACAGUCUGUGGCUUGGAUGGUCUAGGCACUUGGAGGAUAUGCAAAGUAUGAACCUAAAUUUUAAGAACCCUCUACCAAAUUGGGAAACAAGACUCAUGCAAUGAAACAAUAAAGUAAUACAAGAAAAUAAGAUGUGAUUUAAUGGCAAAACAAAACAACAUGUUAUUGGGGGAAAAAUAAAAGAGCACUUCCUAUUAUAUAAAAUUUGAAGCUGUUAGUCAGCUCUGCAGUACCUAGUUCUUUGACACUGAUAAAUUUCCUUAAAUUUUCUAAGGUAUUAAACUACAUGAUCUCCAAAAUUCCGAAUUUCCUUAGAUUAUCUAAGGUAUUGGACUACAUGAUCUCUGAAAUUCCUUACGCCUGGAAAUUCUAAGACUUUAAUUUUAAAGAUAAUCAGACUAGGAAGUGAACAAAUGUGUCCUCAGAGGGAAUAGGACAUGAAAUGAGCCUCAAAGAAAAAAUAGGUUUCACAAAGUGUUCAAGGACAAGGUAGGCAUCCAAACAUGAAAUGAAAAAAAAAAAAAAACCACAAAAUAUAUAUCUGAUAUGAUGAAUGAUGUGGCAUGUCCACUUUUCCAUGACAAGUCAUCUGAGUGGAACACAUAAUCCAUGUCAGAGGCAGUCGCCACAUAUUAGAUCUUGGCAUGUUUUGAAAACCAGGGUGAGAAUUUGACCAUCACAUUUAAAAGGUGAUAGGAGGAACACAGCUGGAAAAUGACAGAGAAAGAACCAAAUGUUGAGGAAGAAGUUGAGGUAAUGAAAUGAAACAGAAUUAAUAGAGAACCAAAAUGAUACCACAAUGGUCUGGGGAUAGUGUUGAAAAGAAUAGCCAAUCAAAUAGUAGGUUUUUGAAUAAAAAUAUAAAUGUGUCAAAUGAGAUAGAGACAUACUGGUUCCAAGCUAUUCCCAAGUCAAAAGAAAAUGGAAAUUUAAAGCGGUGCUGUGCUUGCUUACUUCAUAAACAAAGAGAAGACUAUUGUAAUCAGUAGCACCUUUGCUUCCUCCAUCCCGUGUCCAUAUAAAAGCAGUCAUUGGCACAACCACUGUUAUUGCCAAUAGAAGGGAGAAACAUAAAAUAAAAUAAAAUAAUAAUUACAUGUAGUUUCUAAAUGUUUGCAAUUUAUGUAUUCAAAACUGAAUAUAUUUUUAUAACAAAAAUUAAUUUUAAAAAGGGAGUGUUUAACAUAGGCACUGAUUAAAAUAAUGAUGUGUAUAAGGCAAUGCUAGCCAUAUCAUUAUGGGUGAGAAGUUUUGUGCUAUAGUCAAUAAUCUGAUUUUUUAAAUCUUUAAAUUUCCCAUAGCUUCAGGCAUGAAAGGAGGACUUUGUGUGUAUCAGCGGAAGAAAGAGAGGGAGGUUCUUGCCGUUACACUGCAGAAAUUAACAAAAUUUGGCCUACUCAGAGGCAGUUAAGCGAAGAACAUCAUGAUUACUUAUAGUUUGUGGAAACAAAAAUAAAAGCCACUAUGCUAUAAAAGAAACAAAAUUAAUCUGAUGCAGAGGAGCAAAGAGAAUUUAACACUUCCUGUAUGUGAAAAACUGCUAAGCCAAAAUUGGUUAGCAGCCGUUGUUUUCUGUAGACAGGAAGCAAGAAUUAACUUAAAUUGUAGCUUGCUAUUAAGUUAAAUAUAAGGAAGUGUUCAUUUACUAUGCAAAUUAUUUCCAAAUACAGGAAAGAAAUACAAAACAUGAGAAAAUUAUGGAAUGAGUUUUCAUAGCCAUACUAAGAAAUGGAAAAGUAAGAAGUAAGUCGCCUUUCUGAGAUGUGAAUCUGUCAAAUGUAAAACAUUAGAAGAAAAGCACUUAGAGAUUUGGAUGAGAAAUAUUAAAUGAGAAGCCUGCAUAAGGAAGAGUGACAAAGUAUAAAGAAUUAGAAAUUAAUAUUAAAUACAUUAUUAUAUUCAAAAUACUUCCCCCUAAGAAAUUAAGAUAAAUGGUUCAUGUUUAUUUUAUCUAUUCAUUAUAAAAAUUUUAAACAAUGCAGUAAAGAAUAACAGUUUUUAAAUUAAACACAACAAAACUUAGUUAAGCCACAAACAAAUGACACAAACUACCACAAUCCAGAAAUAACUAUUUUUAUCAUUAGGUAAAUAUCAUUACAAAUAUAUAUAUAUAUUAUUGACAUAAUAGAUACAAUUUUUUUACUCCUAGUGAGGUAUAAUCGACAUACAACAAACUGCACAUAUUUAAAAUGUACAAUGUGGUAAAUUUGAGACGUGUAAACCCAUGAAACCAUCACCACAGUCAAUAUAUUGAUAUAUGAGAAAAGUUUUGGGGGUAAUAGAUAUCAUUAUUUUGAUUAUGUAUUUAACAGACAUUAAACAUAUUUUUAAUAAACGUUAAUUAACCAUUCUAAAAAUCCUACAAGUGUGGUGUUAUUUUAUCCCCACUUAAGAAAACUAAAGCCUAGUUGGGUUAAGUAAACUGCUUAAAGUCACAAAACUAGUAAGUACCAAUCUGAACUUGAACCCAGGCAUUCUGGAAUAUAAAUAAGCAAAUAUAAUGUCUGUAGGUAUAUACUUACAGAAAUGGUAUAGAGAUUACAGAAUAAAUUCUUAUAAACAAUAACAAAAUAAAAAGGAAAUUGUGUUUCUAAUUUGGUUUAUUUAGCAACCCUUAAGGGCUUAAAGGCGAAGAUAUUACUUAACUCUAAUGGAAAGGCCAUGUAAGAUAUUGGCUGGGCAUACUGCUACCUUCUGGGAAGCUCUCUGUAAAGGUGAGUUUAACUGUGAGAUGGGGACAGUACAUCUCAGGUGAGUAACUGUGAGGUGGGGAUCUAAUUCAUAGGGAGAAAUUUAAGUGUAAGUCAAUGAUUUAAAUCACUUAAAAUUUUGCCUACCCACCCUCCCCGACCCAGGGAACAUUGAGCAAUGUCUGGAGACAUGUUUGGUUGUGACAACUUGGGGACAUUUCUGCCAUCAAGUGCCAGAAGUAAGGAUCUUGCUAAACAUCCUGCAAUGCACAGGACAGCCCCCUACAAAAAAGAGUUAUUUGGCCCCAAAUGCCAACGGUAGCACCGUUGAGCAGGUCCUGAAUGAGGAGAAGCCAUGAGUCAGCCAAAGCCAUGGACACAACAAAAGAGAGUAGGGACAUUUAGCCUGUAGAGCACUAACAGUAAAAGCCAAAACAGACAGAAGCUUAGCUGACUGUCCACAGUGGCAGAGGUCUUGUAUGGAACAACGGAAGCCUACUUUUUAGAAGAAAAUGGGUCGUCCAAAGGGAAUCAAGUCUCUAGAACUAUCCUGAACCGUGACUCAUAUUGAAGUUCUCCCCAAAACCUGCUGAGACAUGUUCCUUUUCCUUACUGACGAACCUGUAAAAUAAACUCCUCUUACCUGUUAUACAGUAAGUAUGCCUCUUUUAUAUUUUUGUAUGCUGAAAUAUCCUAAAAGAACCUCCAAGUUUAAUUAUUUAUGUAUUAUAGUCUUAUGCUCUUUAGUAUUGAAUAUACAUUUAAAUACUAAUAAAAUAUUUUACCCAAAUCAUUUAUUCAUUUCUCAGAAUAUAUUCAAGUUGGUUCCCAUAUAUAUUGUUUUCCUGUACAUGGUAAAAUUAAACUUAUAGUACUGGCAUUGAUCCUUAAACAGGAUAUUCAAGAGCUGUUGAGUUAAAAUAAUUAAGAUUAUUUAAUAUGAAGAUGGACACAG
rnacentral:lncRNA from 1 species